GGAAUUUGCAAGAAGUUCUAAAUUGUGAGGCUGGUGUUAUUGAAGAACUUCACAUGUAUUUUUCUAUAUACUGGGAUCAAAGAGAUGUUGAUUUAAUUCCAGAUGGGAUCUCUGUGCCUGUGAAUGAAACAAACAAGAGAGACUAUGUGUCCAAGUGUGUUGAUUACAUUUUUAACAUUUCUAUAAAGACAAUUUAUGACGAAUUUCAUAGAGGAUUUUACAAGGUGUGUAACCGGGACAGUAUUAGGCAUUUCCAGCCUGAAGAACUAAUGGCAGCAAUAAUUGGAAACCCUACUUGUGACUGGAAACAAUUUGAAAAUAAUUCAAAGUAUGAAAAUGGAUAUUCCAAAUCACACCCAACUAUUCUACUGUUUUGGAAGGCUUUCCAUGAACUAACUUUGGAUGAAAAGAAAAAGUUCCUCUUGUUUCUUACAGGAUGUGAUAGGCUACAUGUAAAAGGCCUACAGAAUGAAGGAAUAAGAUUCCGGUGUCCUGAAGUUUUCAGUGAAAGAGAUAACCCAAGAUCAUUGACAUGUCACAGUAUUCUAGACCUGCCUAAGUAUUCCACAAUGAGAAGGAUGAAGGAAGCACUUCAGGUUGCAAUCAACAAUAACAAGGGGUUUAUCUCACCGGAAUGAUGCAGAAGCAUUCACCUCCCAGCAGUCCACAGCCUCAGGGAUUAGGUCUUUUACUUUGGGGUUCUUCUGUCUUUCCUUAAUCUAAUUAGGGACAAGAGAUUAAAGGAUUUUACUUUAGUUUUUGAGAUAAAUAAGUUAUAAAAUAAUAUUUUAGUGAAAGAAUUCUAUAAAACAUUUGCCACAUUCCUAACAUUGCUCUUUUAGAAUGUUUUGGCUGCAAUAUUUUCUGAACAAACUAUGUUCCUUUAAUAAUAUACUAAAUAUUUAAAAUGUUCAAGACUAGGGGCUAAAGAGAGAACUUAGUGGUUAAGAUCACUGGCUGCUCAUCCAGAGGCCAGGGCUCAAUUCCCAGCACCCACAUAGCUGCUUACAUCCUGUCUGUAAUCCCAGUCUUAGGGGAUCCAACACUCUCCUCUGGCCUCCAAAACACACCAUGGAUAUGGUGCAUAGACAUACAUGCUAAAAACACCUAAAAUAUAUAAAAUAAAAUAAAAUAAAAUAAAAAAUAAAAUAGUAUUUACUUAUUUAAAGUGUUAUUGUACCAAUAAUAAACUAUUAGUUUAAAAGUAUUAAGAAACCAAGUUUGGAAAAGAUAAGCAAAAUAUGUACUGCUUUCAACAGUUUUUGAAGCAUAUAGAUGUAUAUUUUGUAUUAAGGAAUAUAUUUAGAGUUGUGAUUUUAGUAAAUGCUAAAUGAUUUAUUUUCAACUUCUAAGUGUUGAUAUUUAUUACUAUUUAAAGAUACUUAUACUUAGUGCUCCAAAAUACAUUCUAAAUAUAGAUCCUGUUAUUACACCUACUUCUGUUUGGUAAAAUGUGAAGAAGUUGAAAUAUGUCUUAUUAUGAUGCUAUAGAGUAAAUUAACAAAGCAACAUAACUGCUAUGGGAAAAGACCAAUACAUCUUGUAUACUAGUUCUACUUAAUGUUAAAACUUAAAUUGCAUUAUACAGUUUUGAAAUGAUUUCAUAAACUCAUAUAGUUUGUUGUAAGAAUGACAUAUAUGCUGCUGUGACGACCCCUCUUCAUUAAAGCUCCAUUUCUAUAAGGCUGUUUUAUCUUUAUAGACUUAUCAGACUUUAUGUGUUUACUGGAUUCCAAAGUGACCAAAUAAACUUAUUAAAAAUAGAUCAUUUAAAGAUAAUAAAAUGAUUGUC
rnacentral:lncRNA from 1 species